UUUUCCCGCCAAAACAGCGUGAAGUUUUUCCCCUCGCGGUGAGCGUUGGACCAAUAACAGUCGCAAUCGCCAUUUCGCCAUGAGCGGAGAGAUGAUGAAGAACGGGAAGAGUCAACAGAGAUUGACGGAUUUUAGUGGUUUCUCUAAAAUAUUGUCUCUCUAUUUCCGUAACAUCGAUUUCUCUCUCGAUGAUUCCAAGUUCAUAGUCCGCCUCUCCUCUCAGCUUGCUCGCUUCUUCUCUUCUCCUUCCGGCGAACACUUCGUUUCUCAGGU
rnacentral:lncRNA from 1 species